rnacentral:rRNA from 1 species
UGCCAGCCGCCGCGGUAAUACGAAGGUCCCGAGCGUUAUUCGGAAUCACUGGGCGUAAAGGGAGCGUAGGCGGCGUGGUAAGUCAGAUGUGAAAUCUGGGGGCUCAACCUCCAAACUGCAUUCGAUACUGCCGUGCUAGAGUAAUGGAGAGGUAACUGGAAUUCUCAGUGUAGCAGUGAAAUGCGUGGAUAUUGAGAGGAAGACCAAUGGCGAAAGCAGGUUACUGGACAUUUACUGACGCUGAGGCUCGAAGGCUAGGGUAGCGAAAGGGAUUAGAUA